rnacentral:tRNA from 4 species
GCCUAAUUAGCUCAGUUGGUUAGAGCACAUGACUGUUAAUCAUGGGGUCCUAGGUUCGAGUCCUAGAUUGGGCGCCA